UUAGGUGUACAGUGUAGAUCCUGAACUUGUCAACACCCACGUGACGGGAAGCCUGGCUUAGCUGUACAGUGUAGAUCCUGAACUUGUCAACACCCACGUGACGGGACACCUGGCUUAGCUGUACAGUGUAGAUCCUGAACUUGUCAACAUCCCCGUGACGGGACACCUGGCUUAGCUGUACAGUGUAGAUCCUGAACUUGUCAACACCCACGUGACGGGAAACCUGGCUUAGCUGUACAGUGUAGAUCCUGAACUUGUCAACACCCACGUGACGGGAGACAUAGCUUAGCUGUACAGUGUAGAUCCUGAACUUGUCAACACCCACGUGACGGGAGACAUAGCUUAGCUGUACAGUGUAGAUCCUGAACUUGUCAACACCCACGUGACGGGAGACCUGACUCAGGUGUAGCACGACUCACCUCCCGGACACGAGAUUUCAUUGAGACAGGACGGCGACUUUAUACUUUGUUCAACGGUCAAUGACAAGAAACAGAAUCUCGAAGGUGCAAGAAUAACCCCACGAUACACAGAGUACAGCUCAAGGAUCACUUCUUGGUUCGUUAGAUCAACAUGUGUACAACGACUUCUUUGAGAACAAACAACUAGCUAGGGGAUAUAACAGAUACUGUAUCCCGACCACGGGCCAAACCAGACCAGAGUGAAGCAAUAUUUGCAAUGCCCUGUCAGGUUUACAGAAAAUAGGUACAAUGAUAUCCGUGCCUGUAUGGUGAUAAAUGAUCUCAAACAAAUCUAGACUAAAAACUAGACUCUGAAAUGAACAUAUUUUACAGAAAAAAGGCCUGAGACUUUCUUCAUUUUCAGAAAGCUGUGGAAAUCUAGACUUGCCACAUUUUCUAGACUUGCGUGGGAUUCCUUGGAUGUAUUUGCUUCAGGGUCUGUAUGACAGACUAAAACAAAUCUUGAUAUAACUGAUAUGCGAGAGGCUUGACCGGUACAGUUGUAUGGCCGAGAGAUCGGUUUCACUUGCUCCUGUUGAGGUCAAACAUGCGCCAAGUCUUCAAUAAACCUAUCAUGAAUGUAUGCUCUUUAUCAUUGCAGCAACAAAUUGGAGUGUGUGUCACAUUUGAAAAAAAUAUAAAUUAUAUUGAUUAGUAUUUAACUAAUAAGUUUUCUCAGUCGCGAGGUGCCGGGAUUCUGCUAUUUGGGACACCAUAUUUCAAACCUGAAACUUUAAACGCCACACGUUGAUAUGAAAUGUACAUGUUCCAUACCUGGCGUUAGGCUUGUCAUUGAAACAAUUUGGUGUGUACCACAUACUGCACCUUCCACAGCAUUGAAAGCCGUUCGGCACAUAUCUUAAAAGAUAGGUAUGUCCAAAAAUGGGGAAUGAUCUGUUCCAGUUACAGAGUUUGAAGAGUAGAUCGAUUUCGUUUCAGGUCACAUGAUUUACUUAUUGAUAUGCAGAUAUUUCAAGAAAACAGACUUUGAAGAAUUUGUAGAAACAGUUGCAAUAAAGACGGAUCACUUUUUA